GACGAACGCUGGCGGCGUGCUUAACACAUGCAAGUCGAACGAAGAGCGAUGGAAGCUUGCUUCUAUCACUCUUAGUGGCGAACGGGUGAGUAACGCGUAAUCAACCUGCCCUUCAGAGGGGGACAACAGUUGGAAACGACUGCUAAUACCGCAUACGAUCUAAUCUCGGCAUCGAGGAUAGAUGAAAGGUGGCCUCUACAUGUAAGCUAUCACUGAAGGAGGGGAUUGCGUCUGAUUAGCUAGUUGGAGGGGUAACGGCCCACCAAGGCGAGGAUCAGUAGCCGGUCUGAGAGGAUGAACGGCCACAUUGGGACUGAGACACGGCCCAGACUCCUACGGGAGGCAGCAGUGGGGAAUCUUCCGCAAUAGACGAAAGUCUGACGGAGCAACGCCGCGUGAGCGAUGACGGCCUUCGGGUUGUAAAGCUCUGUUAAUCGGGACGAAAGGCCUUCUUGCGAAUAGUGAGAAGGAUUGACGGUACCGGAAUAGAAAGCCACGGCUAACUACGUG
rnacentral:rRNA from 1 species